rnacentral:rRNA from 1 species
AUUGAACGCUGGCGGCAGGCCUAACACAUGCAAGUCGAGCGGAUGAAGGGAGCUUGCUCCUGGAUUCAGCGGCGGACGGGUGAGUAAUGCCUAGGAAUCUGCCUGGCAGUGGGGGAUAACGUCCGGAAACGGGCGCUAAUACCGCAUACGUCCUGAGGGAGAAAGUGGGGGAUCUUCGGACCUCACGCUAUCAGAUGAGCCUAGGUCGGAUUAGCUAGUUGGUGGGGUGAAGGCCUACCAAGGCGACGAUCCGUAACUGGUCUGAGAGGAUGAUCAGUCACACUGGAACUGAGACACGGUCCAGACUCCUACGGGAGGCAGCAGUGGGGAAUAUUGGACAAUGGGCGAAAGCCUGAUCCAGCCAUGCCGCGUGUGUGAAGAAGGUCUUCGGAUUGUAAAGCACUUUAAGUUGGGAGGAAGGGCAGUAAGUUAAUACCUUGCUGUUUUGACGUUACCAACAGAAUAAGCACCGGCUAACUUCGUG